GAUGAACGCUGGCGGCAGGCCUCACACAUGCAAGUCGAGCGGAGCGGCGGACGGGUGAGUCAUGCCUAGGAAUCUGCCUGGUAGUGGGGGAUAACGUCCGGAAACGGGCUCUAAUCCCGCAUACUAUCAGAUGAGCCUAGGUCGGUUUAGCUAGUUGGUGGGGUAAAGGCCUACCAAGGCGACGAUCCGUAACUGGUCUGAGAGGAUGAUCAGUCACACUGGAACUGAGACACGUUCCAGACUCCUACGGGAGGCAGCAGUGGGGAAUAUUGCACAAUGGGCGCAAGCCUGAUGCAGCCAUGCCGCGUGUAUGAAGAAGGCCCUAGGGUUGUAAAGUACUUUCAGUCGGGAGGCGUGACCGACAGAAGAAGCACCGGCUAACUCCGUGCCAGCAGCCGCGGUAAUUC
rnacentral:rRNA from 1 species